ACACUGCAUACAGCAUGCUGCUGAGUCUGCAGCUGAGCAGCCGCUGAUCUGAUUGCAUCUUACCUGCUCCGGACAGAAACAUGUUAGCUGAAACCUCACGUCUCCAAAGCUAAUACAGGACAGUUAAAGCUAGCUGACGGUGGCAGAAUUGUUCUCUGAUCUUCGGCAUGUCGGACCAUCUUGUUCAGCACCUUGUUAGAGAUCACAGCAACCCGAACAUGCAGAUGCUCAAAUGUUGCUGGAGAGGCUGCUGAACGGACGAUACUAUAAGCUCAAGUCAUGUGUUCUCCAGAGCUGCCUGAACACAUGCAGGGCCACGUGGAGAACGACAGCAAGGUGCAGCCUUGACCAGAAGUGGAGGUAACGCCAUGCAGCAGCCGAGGAUGGAGAUUCAUCCAUCGUGAUACACAAGCUCAUGUCCUUGUUUAUUAGUGGUUUCAUGUGUGAUUGUAUAGACACACAAGCUCUACUAAUGUUCAAGAGCAGAUUCAGAGUGUGGCUGAUCACAUCCUUGUGGUCUUAUGCAAAUUACAUGAGCUCUUUUUGUUCUCUGAACUGUGACUCCGACAGAAAAGUCAAUCUACUGUUUGUCAUGUUUUUUUCAGCUUUUGUUCUCGAUCAGUUAUCUGCAGCCAUCUGUUUUAAGUAAUUAUUUGAUGAGUACAAUGAUUUCAGUGUAUUUCCUGCACUGAAGAAUUUCUGGCGUCCUCGAGAGAAGUUCCAGCCGGAACCAAAGUAAAAUCACCAGAGCCAAAAUGAUAAGAAUUAAAAGUAUCCAUGAUUUGUCAUUUGGGCUUUCAUUUACUCAAGCAUAAUAGACAUUUUUGUUUAUCAAACCGUCGGAAAUAACAGCAAAAAUGCAUAGAUUCCUGUCAAAUAUGCUUACACAGACUCAAAUCCUGAGUUUAUUUCUUUAUUUUUGCAUUCGUUGGUCAACACAUUUUUUGUUAACGCUGUGAAUCCAUCACACAAGGCUUCUGACAGCACAUCAUGAGUGUCAUUAGUUCUUAUGUGAAGCGAAUUAUAAAGAACAUUUCAGCAAAGAUGGCAUAAACACGUCAGAGCAGCUUGUGUGAAGCAGCUGAUAGUGUGAACUAAUACAAAACAGGUUGCAGAUUUUUCUCUUAAAUGCCAGACAUGCAUACAGUCAUCAAAUGUCCACAUUUGUCUUAGUAAAUCAUCCAUCUGUACAGUUUAGUUAUUUUGUGCCUACAUUACCCACAUUACAGCACAACCACCAACAGUUCAGUCCCAGAUUCUUGUCUAUUUUUGUAGCAUCCUCAAGUUCCCUACUGAAUAUAUUCCAGAUGUCAUGUUUUUCAUCACACACUGACCUGUUUUUUUUCUUCUUCUCUCUACAUUAUGGAGAUAAUAAACUGUACUUACCGUCAGACUCAGACUGUUGGCCCCUCUUACACCAGACACAUUUAAAAGUAAUUCCUCUUAUGGUGGCAUUUUGCAUCAUUAAAUAUGUAAAACCUCAGUUUUGAAUAACAUUUUUGCAUUUCUAAUACUCUAAUUCUAGGAAAUGGUCCCUUUCUAAUUUUGUACAAUACAUAUUUGAAACCAAACUGUCCAGAGAAUGAGAUACAAAAAUCUGUGAUGCUGUAUUAAAGUCAUGCCUUAAGUUUUGUAUGUUAUAUUGUACAGUAUGUACUUCAUUUGUUUAAUACCUACUGUAUGU